UACGUAGGGUGCAAGCGUUAAUCGGAAUUACUGGGCGUAAAGCGCGCGUAGGCGGAUCACUAAGUCAGGGGUGAAAUCCCGAGGCUUAACCUCGGAACUGCCUUUGAUACUGAUGAUCUGGAGAUCGUGGAGAGGUUGGUGGAAUUCCGAGUGUAGAGGUGAAAUUCGUAGAUAUUCGGAGGAACACCAGAAGCGAAGGCGGCCAACUGGCCCGAUACUGACGCUGAGGCUCGAAAGCGUGGGGAGCAAACAGG
rnacentral:rRNA from 1 species